CCUAAGUUGGUAGUAUAGAUCCAGAAGUCUUUGGAAAAAUUUGCACUUUGUAAUUAUAGCUCUUGGAGAGAAUGAGAUCCCUCCAGGUACUUAGUCUCUUGAGAAUUACAUCAAACAAGCCAAUUCCUAGACAAGAAUUUUCUCAGCAUAUAUUUAGAGGUGAACAAUAAAUAUAUUUGCUAUUGAAAGUAUAAAGAACUUCACGAGAAAUGGAGUAAGGAAAAACUGAGAUGGAAAUAUAAGGAAUCCACACCCAGCAUGGAGCCCAACAUGGGGCAUGAACUCAUGACCUGGAGAUCAAGACCUAAGCUAAGAUCAAGAUUCCAGAGCUUAACCAACUGAACCACUCAGGUGCCCCUAAAUUUAUAAUCUUAAUAAAUAUUAAAGACUUUUUUCUUUUCAA